CGGCUCUGCCAGGAACUCACUGGGGCUGCUUCCAAGCACCCGUGGGCUGCAGCCCAGCAUUCUGCUCUGGCCAUCAGGGCCCUGCUCCGGGCCGUACAGAGGCGCCAAGGUGGAGGCUGGAGUGGAGCCAGCCGGGAGGAGAAGGCACCAACCCGGCCAGCUGGGCCCAGGAGCAGCCCGAACAACCAGGGCUGCAUGCUAAGUGGCCGGAGGCAGCAGUACGACUCAGGACAGACCCGGGAGAGGGGACUGGACCCGUGCGCAGCCGGGAGAACCCAGAGGCCAGCCCUGACUGGGGUGAGGAGCCAUCCUGGGCAGUGGCAGGGGGCAGCGAGGGGGACUGUGCACUCUGUGGGGUCUCGAAGCUUCCUCCCUGGGUGGGCACGGGUGGGGGUACCUCCUGGGAGAUGGGGGCAUCAGAGUCCCCCAGCUCGUCUGUCAAUUCUCUGCUCUCCUCCUUUGGGAUCCCAGGGGUAAGGUUUGUGGAGACCUGGGAGUGCCACCGGGCACGGGACCCCUGGAGCUCGGCUGGUCCUGUGACUGCACGGAGGGCACCUGCUCGGGGAGAGGAGCUGAUGUGGGAGGCCCCGGAAGUGCUGGAGAAGAGGAGGAGAAGGCUGCUGGGGAGGCCGGAACUCUGUGGGCCCUGCUCAGUCACCCGCUCCUCCCAGCCUCCAGGAGCUUGUCUGGAGGGAGGCCCAGAAGGGCCCCAGCCGCUACAGGAUGACCAAGGCUAGGACUCUUGUGAAAUGGUCCGAAACCUC
rnacentral:lncRNA from 12 species